GUAAAGAUCAUUUAUGAAAUAGAUUAGCAUGGGACUAAAAAA
rnacentral:sRNA from 1 species